rnacentral:rRNA from 1 species
AUUGAACGCUGGCGGCAUGCCUUACACAUGCAAGUCGAACGGCAGCACGGGAGCAAUCCUGGUGGCGAGUGGCGAACGGGUGAGUAAAGUAUCGGAACGUGCCCAGUCGUGGGGGAUAACGUAGCGAAAGUUACGCUAAUACCGCAUACGAUCUAUGGAGGAAAGCGGGGGAGCGCAAGACCUCGCGCGAUUGGAGCGGCCGAUAUCAGAUUAGGUAGUUGGUGGGGUAAAGGCUCACCAAGCCGACGAUCUGUAGCUGGUCUGAGAGGACGACCAGCCACACUGGGACUGAGACACGGCCCAGACUCCUACGGGAGGCAGCAGUGGGGAAUUUUGGACAAUGGGCGAAAGCCUGAUCCAGCCAUGCCGCGUGCAGGAUGAAGGCCUUCGGGUUGUAAACUGCUUUUGUACGGAGCGAAAAGAUUUGGCCUAAUAAGCUGAGCUCAUGACGGUACCGUAAGAAUAAGCACCGGCUAACUACGUGCCAGCCGCCGCGGUAA